UAGAUUAUACUUUCAGGGAUCUUUUCUACAGAAUAUUACUAGAGAAGUUUCUCUGAUCAUGUCUAGCACCUGAAACCAUGAGUCAAAGUCUUUCCUAAGUGUGAAGCUGAUUCUAGGUGCUGCUUUUGCAACUGCCUUUUACCACUGAUGAUCGUUCUUCUCUUCCUUUGGAAGGAAAAGAGGGGGAGGGUGUAGUCUGAGUGGU